UACCUCAAAGAUUUUUCCCCCCCCGGUACGGACCCCCACCAUUCACUUCCUUUAAAAUGGCGCUACUUUCAAAAUUCGGCUCGGGUUACGCUAACCCAGAUCGUACCCUGAGGGUUAAUUCGUAAAUGUAAGUC